UAUCGCAGAAGCAUAUAUAGAAAGAAAAGCAAGGGGUGCUUAACAGAAAUUGAUCCUAAACUUUCACUACUAAACCCACGGGUAAAAAGUUGUUCAAUAGAAUUAUGGGCAGCAGCGGGAGCAUCAUCAUCAGAAAUCACCAACGAGGCUUCAACAGGCUCGGUGAGAGGAAUAGAACGAGGGGGAGAUGCUUCAUCAUCAGAAAUAAUUCUUCUUCUAGC
rnacentral:lncRNA from 1 species